rnacentral:rRNA from 1 species
AGAGUUUGAUCCUGGCUCAGAUUGAACGCUGGCGGCAUGCUUUACACAUGCAAGUCGAACGGUAACAGGGAGCUUGCUCCGCUGACGAGUGGCGAACGGGUGAGUAAUAUAUCGGAACGUACCCAAGAGUGGGGGAUAACGUAGCGAAAGUUACGCUAAUACCGCAUACGAUCUAAGGAUGAAAGCAGGGGACCGCAAGGCCUUGUGCUCCUGGAGCGGCCGAUAUCUGAUUAGCUAGUUGGUGAGGUAAAGGCUCACCAAGGCAACGAUCAGUAGCUGGUCUGAGAGGACGACCAGCCACACUGGAACUGAGACACGGUCCAGACUCCUACGGGAGGCAGCAGUGGGGAAUUUUGGACAAUGGGGGCAACCCUGAUCCAGCAAUGCCGCGUGAGUGAAGAAGGCCUUCGGGUUGUAAAGCUCUUUUGUCAGGGAAGAAACGGGUGGGGCUAAUAUCCCCAUCUAAUGACGGUACCUGAAGAAUAAGCACCGGCUAACUACGUGCCAGCAGUUGUGGUAAUACGUAGGGUGCAAGCGUUAAUCGGAAUUACUGGGCGUAAAGCGUGCGCAGGCGGUUUUGUAAGUCUGUCGUGAAAUCCCCGGGCUUAACCUGGGAAUGGCGAUGGAGACUGCAAGGCUAGAGUUUGGCAGAGGGGGGUAGAAUUCCACGUGUAGCAGUGAAAUGCGUAGAGAUGUGGAGGAACACCGAUGGCGAAGGCAGCCCCCUGGGUCAAGACUGACGCUCAUGCACGAAAGCGUGGGGAGCAAACAGGAUUAGAUACCCUGGUAGUCCACGCCCUAAACGAUGUCUACUAGUUGUCGGGUCUUAAUUGACUUGGUAACGCAGCUAACGCGUGAAGUAGACCGCCUGGGGAGUACGGUCGCAAGAUUAAAACUCAAAGGAAUUGUCGG